rnacentral:rRNA from 1 species
CCUACGUGGAGCAGCAGUGAGGAAUAUUGGUCAAUGGGCGCGAGCCUGAACCAGCCAAGUAGCGUGAAGGAUGACUGCCCUACGGGUUGUAAACUUCUUUUAUCAAGGAAUAAAGUGAGGCACGUGUGCCUUUUUGUAUGUACUUUAUGAAUAAGGAUCGGCUAACUCCGUGCCAGCAGCCGCGGUAAUACGGAGGAUCCGAGCGUUAUCCGGAUUUAUUGGGUUUAAAGGGACCGUAGAUGGUUUGUUAAGUCAGGUGUGAAAGUUUGCGGCUCAACCGUCAAAUUGCAAUUGAUACUGGCAGUCUUGAGUACAGUUGAGGUAGGCGGAAUUCGUGGUGUAGCGGUGAAAUGCUUAGAUAUCACGAAGAACUCCGAUUGCGAAGGCAGCUUACUAAACUGCCACUGACAUUGAUGCUCGAAAGUGUGGGUAUCAAACAGGAUUAGAUACCCGGGUAGUC